UGCCAUCAUAGAUUUUUAUUAAACUAUAUAUUAAUAAACCAUUUCGAUGCCAGUUCUGGCAGCUCAUUGCAUCAGCAGUUGCAGCCUGUACAGCAGAAAGGCGUCUGGGUGGAGCCAGUGCAAGAAGAAGAGCAAAGGGGAAGAAUCUCCAUGGAAUCACAUGGGAGCUCUAAGUAUAUCACAACACACUUCAGCCUUACUGCAACCAACACGGGAAGAAGGACAACAAAAUCAUGUUCAAGUAAAUGUAAGAGGACAAGCAGAAAGAAAUUACCAUGUCACUACUGCACACCUCCACGUACACUGGUUCGACUCAGAGCCAGAACUGAAUUACCAAUGCUGAAAUCACACUGAUAAAAAAAAAAAUACCUCAGAUAAAAUACAAAAUGCAAGAAUGAAUAAAACAAUUAGAAGUACAUUAUUUGAAACAAAUGAAAUGUAUAAACACUGAUGGCAAAAAUCUAGUGCACUACCCAAAAUAUUUCCACAGCCAACGGACAUCCACACAGCCUGAGGCCAAAGGUUCAGCGGUUUCACACUUUCAAGUACUAAUGGUUCACCAAAUCCUUAACAAUUUGACGCAUAGAGGCAAAGUGAAAAACGCUGAAAGAUUUAAAAUCCACAAGCCAUUUCUCAUUCAUCGGGCUCAGAGAGGAAAACGACAAAAGGGAAAAGAGAGAGAUUUAAAUACCCUCAAUGUUCAGAUUCAACUGGGCAACAUCAAAGUGGUGCAGCGUAAUAACAACUGACAUACCAGAGGCCUUCACUGACACAUGGCAGCGAUGUCUUUCAUUUCACAAAACAGAGCCUUUAUUCACAUAAACAAUCAACCAAUAAAACACAUGGCAGCAAAUUAUACUGGGAAAAGUUUCAAAACUGAAGACAAGUGACAGAAAUCAGGAGAUAGACUGAAACUCUUACAAACCUUCAAGAAACAAAGUUGCCUGACAGGAUGAGCUGACUGCUGCAAAUUAUAUUCAAAAGCAUCAAAUGACUGAAUUCAGUGAAAGGGCUGAGCACUGUAGUUUGACCAGACUUAAAUGAAACUGGCUAAUUUAUGACUGAAGGUAACAAGGUGAGUCCAGUCGGUGAUUCUCCUUAACUUGGUUAGUUUCUGUUGCUGGAGUGGUAUGAUCACAAAUGCCACUCAUUUGUUGUUUAAGUUGAUAUUUUAAAAGUCCCACAUGGUGAAAAUAAUUUUUUAUUGUGUUUUGUCUGUUCAAAAUUCUGAGGUGUAAAAUAAAAUGUGAGAAUAUGAAAACACUUACUGCAGCUUUCCCCUCCAAUCCCCUGAACUAGAUGGCCUCGCAACUUUACAAGACAGUCAAAGUUGAGUUGCAUUUAGAGGUGGUGGAAACUUAAAGAAUGACUUGAAACCAAUAAACAAGCCGGUGGUUAAAAUCAGUUUGUUCAAGUAUCAAAUAUUGCCUGGAAUGCAGCCCAUUAAUGCUACAUGUUAGCCAGCAGACACUUAAGAAUCAUUUCCACGCUGCUGUUGUGGGCCGCUAAAAUACCGAUUUUAUAACCACAAUGUUGUCUGUCAAACUCACCACAUGAGUUAAAAACAACGGCUGUGCUGUAAAUUCUGGGAUAUUUCUAGGUAAAAUGAUUUAGAACUAAUAAAAAUAUCUGCUGUCAAUUAAAGAUGGCGUUUUCUUCCUGAAGGGGGUGGGGACAGCAGCAGCAUAGCUGUAUUAAAUGCAAGACACUGAAAAAGCCUGUUUGGAACAAGACUUAAGCCAGGAGUUAUACAGUCAUGGUAAAAUGAACCAUCUUUGUAGUAUUUUGAACAGGCAAAUUGAAAGACAUGCUGUGGGACACGUGAGUUUUUUAUUUUUGAUUAACACAAUUUGGGACCUUUAAAAAUACAAAUAGGCAGACAAGACAUAUCACCAUGACAUCUUCAUUGUUUGUUUUUUUUUUUGUCUUUUUUGUUUUUUUUUCAUGUUUUUAGGACCAUUAAGUUAUUACAUUUCAAAAGAGCUAGGUCAGACUGCACCAACAUAUCUACGCUCGUAUUUGAGCAGGAUAUUUUGGUACUUGUUCUGAAGGCUAAAAAUAGCCAGCAGCAGCCAGACAUCACAGAAGGCUCAGCGUGGCACGGCCCCACCAUCUUCCUUAUCACAUCAAUGACGCUGGCUUACUCGUCCCACUAUCAUCAAGCCUGGAUUAUGGCCAUCUUCUAAAUUACUUUUUGGAGACAAAUCUAUUCUUCAAUCUCAGGCAGAUGGCCAUCUGGCCCACUGUAAUCGUCCGCUUUCCUUUGUCUCCUUGUGACGAUCUCCUCCGACAGAUGUUGAACCAGAUCAGACCUGCUGAUUAACGAGGACAGCCAGUCAAACCAAACUGAGAGACGGCAGUCAGCCAAGCUCAACUCCAACCAUCCAUUCAGGAAUCCUCUCAACCGUGUUUCCCCUAAAAUAUGGACUUCAAAUUACGAUUACAAUCUAAAUCCAAGUUACUGCUGGGGAUGCUGCUUUGACGUAUGUGUUAAAACAUUAUCUCCUCACCAGAACGCUCCUUUAUAAAUAUAUAUGUAUAUAUAUUUAAAUAAACAUCAUCACAUAUGUUACACAACCAUGAUACCAUCAGCAUUAAUAAAAAAUAACACCAUAAUGGAAAGAACCUAAUUAAAAGGACAAAAAAAAACCCCAAAACAAAACAAACCCCCUUCCCCACCCCGACCUGAUUUUCAUGAAUGAAUUUUUUUAUAUAGUUGGACCACCGGAGACCAUGUUCAGAUGACAGACAGGACAGAUGGUUAUAUCCCUGCAUUCAUUUACAGCACUAUAAGUAAAAAUGCCAAUUUUGCCAAAGAACAAAAACAUUCCAACCUAUCUGCAUUUGCAACAGCAUAUGAGAUUGCAUGCAGAUCUUUCCAACAACGCUCUGAUAAUUAGCCACAUCUCUGACAAAAAAUAAAAUAAAAAUAGUCCACUUUUAAACCCAAAAUUAAAAUUACAAUUGUUUUGAGGCUUUGAAGAAGAGAGAGUUUGUUUGUCCUUCUUGUGUCUCAGGACCCUGGAGCAGAUUACGUAGCCGUCCUUGCUGUCACUCAGUGGCCACACUAAUAACCACCACAACCUGAGAGACAGGGCGCACCAAAAACAGUCCCAGGUACGAGUUCAAACAACAGCCAGAACAGACAGAGAAAAGGGUAUAAUCAACUGAGUGAUUUCUGGUGAUGAGCGGACAGACAGCUUAGCUUUGAACUCAUCUUGGGCCUGUACAGCUCCAUUCAGUUUAGGCUGGGGAAGACGUUUAACAUCUGUCAUCCAAAGGAAAGACUGGUCGUUUCUCAUGUCAAGGUGGGUCUCCAGGGUUUGGAAAGUAGCAACAGCAGAGAUGUAACAGCAGGUUUAGAGAGGCUAGAGUGCAGACGCAUCCUGUGACAAGGCACUUGUGCUGGUGAAGGGAGGAAGAUGCUGGAACAGAGGUUGGAGGGAAAAGGGGGAGUGGAGAGGGGACAAGGGCCUGAAAGAAGGCACAACGCUGUGGAGUCCUCCCCUGUAAGGAGGGGAAGGCUUGACUCCAGACUGAGGUCCAGCAGGACGGCGGCAGCAGAGGAUCAGCCCAGCACCUUCAGCCCAGGACAAGGUCCACAGAUGUGGAGUGCAGUGUGGAGCACCACACUCCCUCCGCCCCACAGAGAUUUUCAGGUGCUGACUAAGCGA
ensembl:lncRNA